rnacentral:rRNA from 1 species
GACGAACGCUGGCGGCGUGCUUAACACAUGCAAGUCGAGCGGUAAGGCCCUUUCGGGGGUACACGAGCGGCGAACGGGUGAGUAACACGUGGGUGACCUGCCCUCAGCUCUGGGAUAAGCCUGGGAAACCGGGUCUAAUACCGGAUAUGACUCCAUGACGCAUGUUGUGGGGUGGAAAGCCUUGUGCGGCUGAGGAUGGGCCCGCGGCCUAUCAGCUUGUUGGUGGGGUGAUGGCCUACCAAGGCGACGACGGGUAGCCGGCCUGAGAGGGCGACCGGCCACACUGGGACUGAGACACGGCCCAGACUCCUACGGGAGGCAGCAGUGGGGAAUCUUGCGCAAUGGGCGAAAGCCUGAUCCAGCCAUGCCGCGUGAGUGAUGAAGGCCCUAGGGUUGUAAAGCUCUUUUGUGCGGGAAGAUAAUGACGGUACCGCAAGAAUAAGCCC